AGCGAACGCUGGCGGCAGGCCUAACACAUGCAAGUCGAACGAAGUCUUCGGACUUAGUGGCGGACGGGUGAGUAACACGUGGGAACGUGCCCUUUGGUACGGAAUAACUCAGGGAAACUUGAGCUAAUACCGUAUGUGCCCUUCGGGGGAAAGAUUUAUCGCCAUUGGAGCGGCCCGCGUCUGAUUAGCUAGUUGGUGAGGUAAAGGCUCACCAAGGCGACGAUCAGUAGCUGGUCUGAGAGGAUGAUCAGCCACAUUGGGACUGAGACACGGCCCAAACUCCUACGGGAGGCAGCAGUGGGGAAUCUUGCGCAAUGGGCGAAGGCCUGACGCAGCCAUGCCGCGUGAAUGAUGAAGGUCUUAGGAUUGUAAAAUUCUUUCACCGGGGACGAUAAUGACGGUACCCGGACAAGAAGCCCCGGCUAACUUCGUGCCAGCCGCCGCCGUAAGAC
rnacentral:rRNA from 1 species